AGGGAGGAAAGGCCAUUCGAGGCGUGGCUGUACUGUCAUCGUGACCUACAUAAGCGUACCCCUUCUUCUUUCUCCCCCCUCAAAGUUUGUUUUCCCCACUGUACUUCCAGUCUCCCCCGGUUGUGAAGUUAUUUUGAGAGGCAUUCCUGGCCUCGGAUUGUGUCCGUCAGUGCCUUUCAAGGCCAAAUUUGUGCCUUAAUAGUGAAGACCAUCACCACUGUAUUAUGUACUUGUUUUUACUUCUUAGUAGACUAGGUGAAGUUUGAGCAAAAAAAAAAAAAAAUGCUUUGUUCACGUGGCCUUCAGUGUUUUAAACCUGUGUUUUUUGUAUUUCAUGUCAAUAUGAAUGUUUGUUCCUUUUUUUGUUCUUUUUUUUUUUUUGUAGUGCCAAAUGAACAACUCUCAAUUUGAUGUUUUAUUAGAUUUUUGAUUUGCAUUUUUUUUGUAUUAACAAAUGAGUAAAUCAUGCAGGGCAUGUAUUGCUUUUGUUCACAGAUAUUAUCUGGUAUAUAGCUUGCUCACAAUAAAAUGGAGUAUAUGGAUUGUCGUCUUGUGAGGGGUAACACUGUCCUUCAAGAUUUAAUCCCGUUAGCCCAGUGCUGCCGCAAUCCUAAUCCACACAGAUUGCUGAAGUCCACUCUGAAUGGUCUCAAUCCCCACGGAAUGCCCAACCACUGCUAAACAUUCAGGUAAAAAACUUGAUUAUAAUAACUGCCUUCCUGUCUGGAAUCCGUCUUUUAGCAUGAUUUAGCAUGAUGAUGGUGCUCUUAAAGGAAGUAGUGAUUUAGAUCUGAUGAGUGUUUUAGGAUUAGCCAGUAUAUUAAUCCUUUCUACCAUAAUUAAAAUUACAUUUCUGAAUUUUUUUUCAAGUGGACUUACUUUAAAUAGUUAAACACUAUACAAUAAGGUUUUAGCCUAUGCUGUUUAGCAUGGUAGGGUGGAUUAGGGUAAUGUGGGACAUUUUUAACCAUUUUGACUUGUGCAUCAUAUUUUCAAAUGAAGCCAAAAAGAUACAUCAAAAUGUUAUAUGAUUAUGAUACCCAAGAUGUUCCCUAUCUAAAUCAGAAGACAUUCAGAAAUUGUAAUUAAAGGGGAAAUGGCACAUAUAUUAGUGUUCCUUGUGCCAAAUCGUUUAAGAAUUUGUGGAUGUAUAAAUUCAUCAGAAACCUAAUUUGAUAACAAUUUAGAACAUUGUUUUAUUUAUAACUGAUUUAUAUCAUUAACAUUAAUUUAGUCUAAAUCCUAUGUCAAUGUCAUUUCAGUGAACUUUACAAGAGGUACUUCCUGUUUGUUGAUUUACUAGGCAACAUUUCUGACAUAAUUUCCAGAAAGUCAAGUGAUUUCAAUUACUUUACACCCCUGCUUGAAUUCAACGCCAAUCAUGUUCACUUUAAUUUUAAAGAAGAGAUAAACGCACUGAAGCUUAAGUGUCCCACAUUAGUCAGUGUCCCACAUUACACUAAUCCACCCUUAACAUGAUCGUACACCAUUUCUUAAUUCUGCUCGUCCAUUUCUGUUUCCUGUUCCAUUAAAAAGUUUAGGGUCAGUACGAUUUUUUGUAUGUUUUUGAAAUAGGUUUUUUACCAAAGCAGCAUUUAUUUGCGAAAUAUUACUACAAUUCUAAAAUUUUACAAAAAAAAAACAUUACCCCAGUCUUCAGUGUUAUGUGAUCUUUCAGAAAUCAUUAAAAUGCUGAUUUGGAAAAUGUUUAUUAUUAUGAUACAUUUUCACCAUUUUAGAUGCUAACAGAUGAUUAGUGUUUUGGUCCUCAGGGUGAACUUGCUUUGUGCAUUUUGCUUUGUGCAAAACAUUUAGAUGGACAGAGUGAAAGAUCAAAGUGAAUAAAUGACUUUUGCUUGACUUCCUGAACACCGUUUCCAUGCAACCGUUUGCUAAUCGUUUGAAUGGCUGCCAUAUACAGUAGGCCUGCCAUACUGGGACUUUCAUAACAUCACAUUUUAUGUAAGACAAUUGGGUCCAAAAUAAUUUUAGAGCAAGCCUGUCGUGAGAACUAGUCUGCAGACCCACAAAAAACACUUUUAUUGUUCUCCAUCAAGCUUAUCAAACCUCUUGUGUUUGCUAAAGGAUGUGGGAAAUGUGACAUCAUUCUGUUUUUGAAACUGUAUGUGGGGUUUCCCUGGAAAAGUGCCCUUAUAGUUUGGAUGAAUAGAAGUCUCAGUGGGCUUUCCCAACGAUGCAAUCCUCGUCUUGGAAGCAACUCCCUUUUAAUAUUGUUGAGUAAAGCAAAUACACAAGAAUUGGGUCCUGAAGAAGGGUUUUAAGUUAAGCCUGACAAGGAUGAAACAUGAUUCUCUUAUUUCAAGGUUAAGACUGACUCCCUGUUGACUCAAACAAUAGGAGUUUUAACAGAGUUUUCCCUUCCCUCAGGAUGUUUAACUGGGUGGUGAAGGUCGUGCCACAUCCUCCCGAUACACAAGAGGAUCUGAGGGAGGAAGCAAUCACUGCGGUAAACCCACAAGCCCAUUAACAUGGACUCAUAAUGCACACCUCACAAAUAUCUGUGACUAUUUAACAGUGCAAGUAAUCUGAUUGCCUCUAAAUGGGGUCAUGACAUACAUGUUUGUUUUAGUGUUUUACAAGCAUGAAUUCAAGAUGUUUGUUGCCAAGUAAUUUGUAGUUUGAAGCCCCUGGGCUAGUGGUUAACACACUUGAUCUGAAAUAAUGAGCCAUGGUGCUCAUGUGGAUAAUAUAAGUUUGAAUCUUGCUUGCAACAUUUUCUAAACCCAUUCCCUUUUCCACACCCCAGCUUCCCUUUCUAUAUUAUAUCUAUGAAACUGUUAAAAAGGCCAAUAAUAAAUUCAAAAACGAAUCUGAAUAUUACUUGAAUUCCUAGAUAUAAAAAAUGAUGCUCUCAUAUUAUCGUCUUGCUGUUGCAUUGAUGUCCUCUCAUUUAAUGAACCUCUAAUUCUCUUAAAUCUCUCUCUGAAGAAUGGAAAAACAUCGAAUCGAGGUACAUUUACAGCACUCGAUCGUUUAUUAGGUUUAAUGUAAUAUAUAUUGUCUCACUUUAUGUUUGGUGGCCUUACAAUGUACUAAAUAUAAUAUAAUAUCUAAAUAUAAUAUACUAAUGUACAAUGAGCCUCUAUCUCUUUUAUUGUUAUGCAGACAAGUUCAAUUCAGCCAAAACAGGCAGGGAGGAAGACCAGUCAUCUCAAACCUCAAAGGACAGGUGAGUUUUGACCGAUCUUUCCAGUAAAGUGCACAAAAGAUAUUCCCUGACUGUCUGGACAUGAGACAUGCUGAAAUCUGUUUGUUUCAGUGUUCAGAGUGGUAUGUUGAACUGGAUCUCCAACGGUUUCGUAAGCGCACUGCCCCAACCUGCAGGGAGUCCUCUUCUUACGAGAGCCAACCCUGAUGCUAAAGUACUGAUUUCAUGUCAGCUAAAGUAGUUUGAUAUUUAAUACCAUUUGGUAUUGCAUAUUAAUGUGCACUUAAACCAAAAUAACAUCAAUAUAUAAUUCUAUUUUUUAUUUUGCAGUCACUUCAGGAUGAAGGUUCUAUGGACAGGUAAGGCUAUGAAUAUUCAAUCACUGUG
ensembl:lncRNA